rnacentral:rRNA from 1 species
GAUGAACGCUGGCGGCGUGCCUAAUACAUGCAAGUCGAGCGAACAGACGAGGAGCUUGCUCCUCUGACGUUAGCGGCGGACGGGUGAGUAACACGUGGAUAACCUACCUAUAAGACUGGGAUAACUUCGGGAAACCGGAGCUAAUACCGGAUAAUAUAUUGAACCGCAUGGUUCAAUAGUGAAAGACGGUUUUGCUGUCACUUAUAGAUGGAUCCGCGCCGCAUUAGCUAGUUUGUAAGGUAACGGCUUACCAAGGCAACGAUGCGUAGCCGACCUGAGAGGGUGGGCGGCCACACUGGAACUGAGACACGGUCCAGCCUCCUACGGGAGGCAGCCGUAGGGAAUCUUCCGCAAUGGGCGAAAGCCUGACGGAGCAACGCCGCGUGAGUGAUGAAGGUCUUCGGAUCGUAAAACUCUGUUAUUAGGGAAGAACAAAUGUGUAAGUAACUAUGCACGUCUUGACGGUACCUAAUCAGAAAGCCACGGCUAACUACGUG